rnacentral:rRNA from 1 species
GGUUAAUAUUCCUGUACUUGGUGUUACUGCGAAGGGGGGACGGAGAAGGCUAUGUUAGCCGGGCGACGGUUGUCCCGGUUUAAGCAUGUAGGCUGAUUGUCCAGGCAAAUCCGGAUAAUCAAGGCUGAGGUGUGAUGACGAGGCACUACGGUGCUGAAGUAACAAAUGCCCUGCUUCCAGGAAAAGCCUCUAAGCAUCAGGUAACAUCAAAUCGUACCCCAAACCGACACAGGUGGUCAGGUAGAGAAUACCAAGGCGCUUGAGAGAACUCGGGUGAAGGAACUAGGCAAAAUGGUGCCGUAACUUCGGGAGAAGGCACGCUGGUGUGUAGGUGAAGUCCCUGCGGAUGGAGCUGAGACCAGUCGAAGAUACCAGCUGGCUGCAACUGUUUAUUAAAAACACAGCACUGUGCAAACACGAAAGUGGACGUAUACGGUGUGACGCCUGCCCGGUGCCGGAAGGUUAAUUGAUGGGGUUAGCGGUAACGCGAAGCUCUUGAUCGAAGCCCCGGUAAACGGCGGCCGUAACUAUAACGGUCCUAAGGUAGCGAAAUUCCUUGUCGGGUAAGUUCCGACCUGCACGAAUGGCGUAAUGAUGGCCAGGCUGUCUCCACCCGAGACUCAGUGAAAUUGAACUCGCUGUGAAGAUGCAGUGUACCCGCGGCAAGACGGAAAGACCCCGUGAACCUUUACUAUAGCUUGACACUGAACAUUGAGCCUUGAUGUGUAGGAUAGGUGGGAGGCUUUGAAGUGUGGACGCCAGUCUGCAUGGAGCCGACCUUGAAAUACCACCCUUUAAUGUUUGAUGUUCUAACGUGGGCCCCUUACCGGGGUUGCGGACAGUGUCUGGUGGGUAGUUUGACUGGGGCGGUCUCCUCCUAAAGAGUAACGGAGGAGCACGAAGGUUGGCUAAUCCUGGUCGGACAUCAGGAGGUUAGUGCAAUGGCAUAAGCCAGCUUGACUGCGAGCGUGACGGCGCGAGCAGGUGCGAAAGCAGGUCAUAGUGAUCCGGUGGUUCUGAAUGGAAGGGCCAUCGCUCAACGGAUAAAAGGUACUCCGGGGAUAACAGGCUGAUACCGCCCAAGAGUUCAUAUCGACGGCGGUGUUUGGCACCUCGAUGUCGGCUCAUCACAUCCUGGGGCUGAAGUAGGUCCCAAGGGUAUGGCUGUUCGCCAUUUAAAGUGGUACGCGAGCUGGGUUUAGAACGUCGUGAGACAGUUCGGUCCCUAUCUGCCGUGGGCGCUGGAGAACUGAGGGGGGCUGCUCCUAGUACGAGAGGACCGGAGUGGACGCAUCACUGGUGUUCGGGUUGUCAUGCCAAUGGCACUGCCCGGUAGCUAAAUGCGGAAGAGAUAAGUGCUGAAAGCAUCUAAGCACGAAACUUGCCCCGAGAUGAGUUCUCCCUGACUCCUUGAGAGUCCUGAAGGAACGUUGAAGACGACGACGUUGAUAGGCCGGGUGUGUAAGCGCAGCGAUGCGUUGAGCUAACCGGUACUAAUGAACCGUGAGGCUUAACCUU